rnacentral:rRNA from 1 species
UACGGGGGGGGCAAGCGUUGUUCGGAAUUACUGGGCGUAAAGGGCUCGUAGGCGGCCAACUAAGUCAGACGUGAAAUCCCUCGGCUUAACUGGGGAACUGCGUCUGAUACUGGAUGGCUUGAGUUUGGGAGAGGGAUGCGGAAUUCCAGGUGUAGCGGUGAAAUGCGUAGAUAUCUGGAGGAACACCAAUUGCGAAGGCAGCUCGCUGGGACGUUACUGACGCUGAGGAGCGAAAGCGUGGGGAGCAAACAGG